UCAGCUCGUGUCGUGAGAUGUGGGUUAAGUCCCGCAACGAGCGCAACCCCUAUUGUUAGUUGCCAUCAUUCAGUUGGGCACUCUAGCGAGACUGCCGGUAAUAAACCGGAGGAAGGUGGGGAUGACGUCAAAUCAUCAUGCCCCUUAUGACCUGGGCUACACACGUGCUACAAUGGUUGGUACAACGAGUUGCGAGUCGGUGACGGCGAGCUAAUCUCUUAAAGCCAAUCUCAGUUCGGAUUGUAGGCUGCAACUCGCCUACAUGAAGUCGGAAUCGCUAGUAAUCGCGAAUCAGCACGCCGCGGUGAAUACGUUCCCGGGCCUU
rnacentral:rRNA from 1 species